UAAAACUUAUAAAAUUAGGUAGUAAAGAAAUUUCUGAAACCUAAAGAAUUUGGCGGUAUUUUAAAUAAUUGGAGGAACCUGUUAUUUAAUUGACAAUCCACAACAUAUCUUACCUAGAUUUUAUUUGUAUAUCGUCGUUUUGAUAAUAUUUAAAAAUAAUAAUCAAUCUUAAUAAAUUUUUAAAUUCAGAUCAAGGUGCAGUAUAUUUAGGUUAUAAUGGGUUACAAUAUACUUAUAUAUAAUGAAUGUAAAAUUGAAAAUAUAUUGAAGGUGGAUUCAAAAGUAAAAUUAAAUUAAAAAGUUAAUUUGAUUGAUAAUUUAAAAUAUGC
rnacentral:rRNA from 1 species